rnacentral:rRNA from 1 species
UACGGGGGGGGCAAGCGUUGUUCGGAAUUACUGGGCGUAAAGGGCUUGUAGGUGGCCAACUAAGUCAGACGUGAAAUCCCUCGGCUUAACCGGGGAACUGCGUCUGAUACUGGAUGGCUGGAGUGUGGGAGAGGGAUGCGGAAUUCCAGGUGUAGCGGUGAAAUGCGUAGAUAUCUGGAGGAACACCGGUGGCGAAGGCAGCUUGCUGGGACGGUACUGACGCUAAGGCGCGAAAGCGUGGGGAGCGAACAGG